GGUAGGUCUUGAGCUGGGCGGAGAAUUUACAUUUUCUAACAGGUUCUCCGGUGAUGCUGAUACUGCUGAUCUGGGACUUUCAGGCUCUACCAAGUUCCUCAUGCCUUUACUGUUUGCCAAUUUUCGCAGGUGAAGCUGCUUAAUUCACAAGUGAUUCUGCCCCAAGCAGGUAGGAGGAAUACAGGCUUUUCAUUGGUUCAGUGUGACUACGUCACUUUACGUCCGAUUUGGCGUGGAUAGCUUAGCUGAACCUUUGGUGAGUUCCAGCUUCCUUAUUCAUCCCUUUUGGAUUCCUUGCUGGAGACGCUGUUUCCUCUGGGACCAGGACAUUUGGAUUUGCCUUGCUCAGUUCUUUCUGCAGGCUGAAGAUGAGCAGGCAUCCUGCUACUCUGGAUUUCUGGAAGUCAAGAUGAUCCCAUGGGGGCAAAAAUGAACUCCAAACUGCAAAAUUGGAAAGACACCAUAUCUUUGAACAGUGAAGCAAGCAGGAAGAUGAAAAUUGAACACCAGGAUGCAUGCACAGAGAAAAGUCCAUGUGAGGACACAGAAGGUGGCCAUCUACAAGCCAAGCAGAGAGGUCACAGGAGAGACCAAACCUGGUCACACCUAAAUCUUAGACCUUUAUCCUCCAGAACUAUGAGAAAUAAAU